GAUGAACGCUGGCGGCGUGCCUAAUACAUGCAAGUCGAGCGAACGGACGAGAAGCUUGCUUCUCUGAUGUUAGCGGCGGACGGGUGAGUAACACGUGGAUAACCUACCUAUAAGACUGGGAUAACUUCGGGAAACCGGAGCUAAUACCGGAUAAUAUUUUGAACCGCAUGGUUCAAAAGUGAAAGACGGUCUUGCUGUCACUUAUAGAUGGAUCCGCGCUGCAUUAGCUAGUUGGUAAGGUAACGGCUUACCAAGGCAACGAUGCAUAGCCGACCUGAGAGGGUGAUCGGCCACACUGGAACUGAGACACGGUCCAGACGCCUACGGGAGGCAGCAGUAGGGAAUCUUCCGCAAAGGGCGAAAGCCUGACGGAGCAACGCCGCGUGAGUGAUGAAGGUCUUCGGAUCGUAAAACUCUGUUAUUAGGGAAGAACAUAUGUGUAAGUAACUGUGCACAUCUUGACGGUACCUAAUCAGAAAGCCACGGCUAACUACGUG
rnacentral:rRNA from 1 species